GGAGCUCGGACGGAGGAGCUUACGUGCUGAAGAUUGGGGUGAAGUUGCAGAGAAGGUAACAGAAAUGGUUGGUGUUGAUAAAACUGAAGUUGAGUGUAGGAAUCAAUUAGAUGUGCUCAAGAAGAAGUAUAAGAAGGAGAUAACAAAAAUGGAGAAAACUGGAGGUGGGUUUCAUAGCAAGUGGACAUUUUUUAAGAAAAUGGAUAUGCUCAUGAAUUUGAGGAUGAAAGGGCAUUGUGGAUUGGGUUGUGGGCUCGAUUCGGGUGAGUAUGUGUUUAUGGACCCACGAAUGUACUUGGAUAGGUCAAAUGUGUUGGAUGAGAUGAGAGAUAGUCCUGCAGGAUCAGAUGCGGAUAAUGAUGAAGAAGAGGACGAGCAGGGUUCCGGAGGAUGGGAGGGUGAUGAUGCGUCAGCUAAGUUGCUAGCAGAUUCAAUUCAAAGGUUUGGGCAGAUAUAUGAGAAAAUUGAGAAUAGUAAGAGGAAGCAGAUGAUGGAGCUGGAGAAGAUGAGAAGGGAUUUCCAAAGGGAGUUGGAGUUGCAGAAGAAACAGAUAAUUGAGAGGGCACAGGUGGAAAUUGCUAAAAUAAGGGGCAACGGAGAAAAUGAUGAUGAUGAAGACAAUGAAGAUGAGGAUGGUGAAGAGACUGACAAUAUUUCCGGUGAGAAGCUUAGGGGCUAAUGCAGGAUGAAAGAUGAUUACGUAGAGUUAAAUCACUGUAAGAUUUUGCAAGGAACAUUCUUGUUUGAAGUAGUGAUUGACUGGAUUCUGGAAUAUUGAGUUAAUUCUGCAAAUAUGCAUGUGGAAAAUAACCAAUUUUUCUUGUCAUGUUGAGAUUAUGAGGUCAAUUCAUCCUUAUAGAUUAAUUUCAUAAUGUUACUAGGUGAAAUGUUGAAGGUCAUUUCCCCCUUG
rnacentral:misc_RNA from 1 species